rnacentral:lncRNA from 1 species
UCCAGCUCAACCUGGUCUGCAAUUUAGUUACCUUUGAUUAGGCUUGGACAUGAUUCGGUUUGAUUGGCUAAUCUGUGUCAAAAUUGCUGGCUAUCGAUUUAUUACCGUUUUCCCCCAUAUUUAGGUUGCUCGAUCGAACUGAACAGCAGCAGCUUGAUGCUGCUUACAAUUUCAUUUUUUCUAUCAUCACGGAUUGUUCUGUUCUGUGCUUCUGGUUGUAAUACUCGCCGUGAUUGAGCUUGUUUUGAGUAGAUUAGUCCAUGCUGUGAUUGAUGGUCGGAUAAUGCCAUAUCAUGACAGUGAGCAGCUGUUGGGAUGCAGGAUUUUGAAGAAUGAUAGAAGUUAUUUGUUCCGGUCAGUCACUGAUUUCAAUGCUUAUUUGGUUGAUGUUGGAGAGCCUGGAGGAGGACAAAAGCCUCUAGAUGAUACUUAUAUUCACAGCCUGAUUAUUGUUUGGUAAUUGGAUUUAUAAGUUCCCUCUGCCGAGGGUAUUCCUUGCUUGUCUUCUUCAUAGUUGUUUUGUUGGUUCAAAUCAUCAGUAGAUGCAAUGUGAUGAAUGUGAAGUUCUUGGGUUUGGUUUGUUAAAAGUCCAAAUGGGUAUAUUUUACUUAUUAUUUGUCUUGGAAAAAAGAGCAUUGCUUGCAUACAAAUACGCAUAGACCCUCCUUUGUGAUGCUUUGCUAGUUGCUCGUGUGGGAAAUUAAAUAUUUGUUCUUUUGCUUGCUUCAAACAGCUACUUGGGUACAGUUCAUGUGUUGAUUGAUUUAGAAUCUAGAUGUAAACAUUUGCAGUUGGUCUACUGUUGCUUUUGUUCAAUGCAACUGAUAUUUUGAAACUCCAUUUUUUUCGUUAAAGUUUUUCCUUUUGUUAACCUUACUUUCAAUUGAUGCAGAGCUUUGGUUGAGUUUCUGGAUAUGAGGUUCAGUAUAAUCCCCCCUAUGAAUUACGAGGUGUGUUUUCCUUUUAGCUACUUAAAUCCUUUCGCAUGGAAUCUACAGUUGUAUUGCCUACAUAACUUUUCAUUUUCUGCAGAUGCUCCUAAUUCCUCAAAAACCGAAAAAGAAACACUGGUUAUUUUAGAAGAAACUGGUCGCUUAUGAUGUUGCAACCUGCCGGAAAUGGGAACCAAAUUAAUACCGUCCCUAUACCCUACAUAUAUAGAUUCUACAUCCCAAAUAGCGCAGCUUGCUUUACAAUGCUUCCUAAUGACUCCUAACGAGCAGCCUUCGUGGACUAAAGUCAUGGAAGAACUGGAAUCAGUAGACACUGGAAUAGAAUGGGAUAGUUAAAUUCACUUAUUAUGUCAUUCUUACUUCAUGUGAUGUAAGUCAAAGUCUGUUGUUCCACACUUUUCCAUUUUUCCCGGGAAUAAUCCUGGGCUUUGAAUGUUCAUUUCUAUUGUACCCAGCAGUUACUAGGAGUUGUCUUCUCUUGUAAGUUCUUUGGAAUAUCCAUGACAUGUAUAUUAAUACAUGCACCGCUUUGUGAAUUGAGAUGUGAUUGUACUUAUGAUUAUGAGAGGAACAGUUCUUUAAGGCUAAUCCUCGAUCUUGUUGGCAAUCUGAGGUCCACAGAAGAAGUCCAUUGCUCUUCAAGAGUCCGAGCUCUUUAAUUUUCUUGCAUGCUUGGGCUUUGAACAUGAGCAAAAGCUCAUUUUGGUUGCCAUCACGAAUGUGUUUAUGUGGUGCUUGCUCUGCAAUCAAUCUCCGGGAAGUGCUAGGCGGUUCAUUCCAUUCUCAUAGUAUUUUUGAGCUAUGAGACAUGGUCAGGGAAAUUGAUGGAGUCAUGUAAGGCAAAGUGCUGCUCAGUUGUCCAUUCAGAAAGAGCAAGAUAUGACUUUGGGUGCUGUCAUGUUGCAGCUAAGACAUGUCUGAUUGUUUUGUGCUAAUAAGAGACAUUUCUUAUCAUAUGCUAGUUUUAGAUAAGACUUUCCAUACGACAUCAUAAAUGACUAAAUUUUAUUUUUAUAUUCUCAUUAACUUAGCCCAUUGGUUAUUGUACUUUCUUCACUGUUUGUAAAUCUGAGGGCCCUAUUAUUUUCGACACUUCUCAUGUAAUUUUUAUUUUUAUUUUUGAACUUGUUGAUAUCUCUUUUACAUCACUCUCAACGCAAAAAUAUAAAAGUUUCCAUCAUUUUGGUUUUUUUUAAACAAAUUUAAAAAAAAAAAAUUGAUUACACUAAAGAACUUUCCAAAUAUAUGUUUAUCAAAUAGUAUUUUCCCAAUGUUACUUCUCAAGUCAUUUUAAAUUGCAAAUUACCAAAUAGUGUUUGCAUUUCACAUAACUCUUUUAGGCUAAGGGCCUUUACAUUAGCCAAAGGCUUUCCCCAAAAGUCAAAGCAAACGCACCCAUAAAUGGGUACUUGAAAUUGAGCUUUAUGCAGACCUUUGUGCUUAAUUGUUGUUGCCCUGCUAUGUGACCCGCUGUUUCGUGUAAAUCAGCGAUAUAGUCGUCGUCAUCAUGGCUGAAGCGCUCUUGGAGAUCCGGCCUCAUGAAGUCAAGUUUAUCUGUGAGUGUAUAUAGUGCUGCGCGUUUGGUUCAUUUUUAUUUUGGAGCUACAUUCAAUUUGCGUUGCUUGCCUCCUGCUUUACUAGGCAAUUAGUGAAGGGGAUGAUAUUUCUUUGUUCUACAAUAAUUUGCUUGAGAAUUUGUGGUUCAACAUCGUAAAUAAUGAUAAAAGAAAUAUCUUAAUAAGAGCUUCAAUGGCGAGUAUGAAUCGGUUAUUAAUCGCCCUGUUUUUCAAAUUCUUUUCCUUGUGUUGUUUUCAAAUUUUUGGCUAGGUUCUUUCUUUUUGCACAGUUUCUAUCCUCGCACCACAAACUCUUAGAGUGCCUUGUGAGGUGAAUUUCUUUCCGGAGAUACAGUAAGUGAGUGUUGUAACCAAAUGACUGAGAAUGAUCGGUAGAGAAAACCAACACGCAAAAUGAGAUUUCGUUGCUGCAUUAUGUCUUGAAAGAAAAUGUAUGAUGGUCCAUUUCAUCACAUCCUACUCUCAUGUCGUGCCUCGUUAAGUUUUUUUAUCUGAAGCCUCUUCUUCAUGUUUAUGCAGUUGAGUUGAGUAAACAAAGCUCAUGCUUGAUUCCGCUACGCAACAAGACUGAUUGGUAUGUUGCUUUCAAGGUGAGGAUUUUUUGCACCUUUUCAUUCACCAUGAUCGUGCUUUACUUUUUUUUAGGUAUGGUGGGCGACCAAUUUUCUUUCAAUUCUGUAUUCUCUUGAUGUAGUUUAAAUUUCAGAGUAGGAUAUCAAUGCAUUAAAAGCUCUCUACUAUGGAAAAACAUUAUGAGCUUUAUACUGGAUAUCCAAAACAUUCCAGGUUAAGUCUACAUCUUUGAAGAAAUACUGUGCGCAAUCAAAUGUAGGCAUCAUCAAGCCAAAUGGAGCAUCUGAUUCAAAAUAGUGCUGCUCAAGUCCAAGGAACAUCAUGUUCACAUACUUAUUAAAGCCACUAACAUACUUGUGAGGAGGGACACGCCUACAGUACCUAAAUCAGCUAAAUAAUUCUUUUGCAAUUUCUUUGCCAUGACAUGUCAAUUGGAUUUUAUUAUUGUUGGGUUACAAACUACUUAAGGUAGAGUCAGUCUAAUUGCAGCAAGGAUCAUCUUUGAAUAAGAUUUUGAAUGCCUACCAUAGUAGCCUAAUAUACAUUGAGACAAAGGAAACCACGAUAGGCCUCACAAGCUAUGUCCUGAUACUUCAAAAGAAUUGGAGUAGGCCUUUCAUCCUAUCUUCUGUUUGAUGUAGUUACCAUGUAAGCACGACAGGUAGCUCCAACUAUCCUGUAGUGCAAAGAUAAGUUUUUGAUACAGGUGAAGAGGACUACUGACAUGGUAGGUUUUGCUGCUAUUUGCUCCAUAAUCUUCCAGGUCAAGAAACUCGAGAAAUUUUCUUUUAAAUUUUCAAAUUGAUAAAGAAAGUGGUAAAUACAUAAAUGAGAGGAAGAUAAAAGCAGUUCUAACCAAUCCAGUGGAAUCACUAUCAAUGCUACCAGAUUAUGGAGACCGGAAGCAAGAUUCAUCUUCCAGGACUACCAUCCCAAAGGAUAUCUCACCUGUUGGAGUCGAAAAUGUGUCACCUUUUCUCAAGGUAUUACUUGCAAAAAACAUCAAUAUGUCACUUUAUUGUCUUUCUGGAUUGAGAUGGCAUUGUAUCUAAUCAAUGUAUCGGGGCUUUGCCACAGCCUUGGCUAGGCUGUAUGUUUAUUUAUUUGUGAAUGGAAAUCAAGUUGCUGCACAUCAUCUAUAUAUUGAUCUACCUUUUUAGCAACUAAAUGCGAGUGUAUGGGAUAUCUUUUUUCUCAUAUUAACUGUACGUGAAUCCAUUUCUAUGUCUCAGGAAAGAUUGGAAAUCAUAGAAUAUGACUUCUGUUCUUACUCUUAUAUUCCAGAAGGAUUGUCUUUUGAUGCCAGGAUCCUGAAGAGUUGGACGUGUCAAGAGGUUUUAAGGAGUUAAAAUCAACACUCAACAAGGUGAUACAAAGUUGAAAGAGGUUAGUUUUCUUCCCUUGGUUGAUUUGAAUUCAGGUCUACUUUCACCAGUCAAAUCACUGGGAGGACGGUUUCCCUUCCACUACACAAGCCACCCUUGAUUGCCCAUUUUAUACAGAUGAGGACAGGAGACAGAAGAGGGGAAGAAUUAUUAAAAGGAAGAAAAGAAAACUUAUAAAAGGCAUAGGUGUUGAGUUGGGAGAAUUGCAAAUCAGUCAUAAAUUUAUUUGUAUGAAUAAUCAAAUAAUGGAAUGGAAAACAUGUUUUCUCUCUCAUAUUCUUGGUUCACUGCUACUACUAACACAUUGGUUCUUAUGAAUAUCUGGUGCUGCAUGUAUUGAAGAUUACAUUUUUGUUUACUGAGUAAAAUGGCACGAAAUUGUUAUUGCCAAGUCAGAGUCGACCCGACUAUCACCAGGGACUACUCGAGUUUGGUACUACUGCUGUUGCUACUGCUAUGUUAGUGUUGUGUCUUGGAGAGGUGGUUAGAGAUAAUUUAGGCUUGCUGACUUGGGGUCUUUCUUGUGAUUUCUCUCGGGUUGUCCGAGUCAUGGCAUAUCCCUUAGCUGAUAUUAUUGUGGUAUCUUUCGUUGUGAACUUGCACUGGAGUUUGAUUUUCUCAUUGUUGGGAUCCGUCGAAAGGAAGAUUCUGUCCUGUAAGAUACUUCCUCGAAGAUUAAGAUUUCACUGCCUUAAAUUAGUUUUUUUGUGUUACAAAACUCUUGAAAUAGUAUAUUUGCAUUAUAUUUACCUCCAAAUUAAUUUUUGUGUAACUAGCCUAACGUGACUCAUGAGAUUAUCUAUUCGGCCCUGUCCCCGAACCAUGGGAAGAAAAAUACAGGAAUUUUGGAGAAAAAGAUGGGAUUUUUUUUGAGCGAAACAUGUUAGCCAAUCUACAUAAGUUACACUAGACCAAAAAAUUAGAGUCUCCGAGAAGUUAUCAAAUGCGCCAUCGUUGCGGUGCUAAUCGGAGAUUAUCUCUUCGGAUCGGGCUGCCCUCAGGGGGAGAAGAGGCCGAUUGGCGAUCUUAAGAUUCUGUUUUCAUUCUUGCAUACAAUGAAAUCACUGCUAAAGGAUGAAAGGUAACAAAACUCGGAUCAGAUUUUGCUUAACGGAAACAACAUAGCUAUUGUAAGAAACAACUUCUUCCUUCUGCUGGUAAUUAUAUUGCUAUAUGUUUGAGCCCUUGCCUUGAUAAGGGCAUGGUCUUGCCUAAAGUUUUGGUAAUCUAUCAACUAGUAAGCAAUUGCCUUAACCAAACAGAAACAAUCAGCCGCUCUGAGAGAUUCCUUCUGAUAAGACUCAUAAUGCUUAGACAAUGUAUUGAUGAAUCAUGACUGGUCUUGAAUUUGUGAUUAAAAGGUCAUCAUCGCCUAUUCUUUACAAUCUGGUCCUUUGUCUCAAUCAACCUUUUGUCCACCUCUUGAUAAAUAUAAAGCACAAGUGGUGUGGCAAUUAUGUUACCGAAAAGCUAGAAUUCUGCUUUCCAGUGCUUGAACCACUUAAGUGACGAUGCCUUGCUUUUGUCUUACUGCAGUUAGCUGGUGUCUCCCCUGAUCCAGAAUGAGUUGGGUUCAUCCUCUAACCCCAGUGGUUGAUUAUGUAGUUACUUUUAGUUGUUGGAAGCCCCAUCAGCAACAUCAUUUGAUUUUAUAACCCUCUUUUUAUGGGUUUAUGAAUCUGCAACCUUAGUCAAUUGAGCUCUUAUUUGAUUGAGCUCAUGUGUGAAUGUCUGAUGCAAUUAGCUCAACAGAUGGUGCAUGAUCACAUCAUCCUAUUAUCCAAUAUCUAUCUUUUGCUCAACUAGAGGGUGUGACAGUUGUUGUCAUGCUUGGUGCAUAUUGUUCCUAGGUUCCAGUGCAUUGUUAUUGAAGAACCUAUCUUGGCUUGUUUUAGUGUUCUUCUGUAUUUGCCCCGCCGUUGACUGCAUAAUAAUAUCUGUAUUUCCCCCCACAGAAUAUGGUAUCUUCUUGGUGGCCUGCUAUUUGACUACCCUCUCUGUUUUAUAGUACAUUCUCAACGUAAAUGCAGAAGGGUGUGUUCCCAAUAUCCACUUUGUAAAAGAUCAAAGAAUUCCACUUAUGUACUUGUUGCUCUUUGCUUGAAAAAAUUCUACUUCAUUAUGCAGUAUGGUUCUGGUACCGAGACAUCAGGCCAAAGAUGUGCACUGUACUGCAUACAGCUAGAUGAAUAAUGGACGUAUUUUGCUCCAAGAGAUUUCAAUUUUCCACCCAAGUAGCUGUAGUUGCUGCAUGUUGCGAAAAGAUCCAUGCCCAAAGCGAACUCACUUGUUUUGACCAUGCCCGGUUUUUUGUCGUUCAUGCUUUCAAAGUGGUUGGCUAUUUGGGUGGAGUGCUGUUUCUUGUUUUUGCGGUAGUGACAUUCAUCGGAGUUUUCUAGAGGUUUUCAAUCUGCUGAAAGAGUGGGCUCCGAGCUCGUGAGGUGUGAUAUUGGUUGCGGACUUUGGUUAGAGCGACAAGAUCUAAAUAGGCUGGAAAUAAGGUGCUGAAGAUUCACCAUAGGCCUCUUCUUUAUCGCUUGUUUUCGUGUAUAUUCACAGCUGCAAACGAGCUUUGACUUGAGGCAUGUGAAAUGAAGAGUAAAUGCUGAGAACCUUGUCUAGGCAUUGGUGCAAUUUUCUUAUUUGAAGCUUUAUUGGCCAUCGAAUCUCAUCAUCAUGAACAAGUUUGCAGUUUCAUUCCGAUUUUGAUUAGUUCGAACACAUGGUCCAAGAUUCUUAUAAAUGCUAUGUAACAGAAUUCUCCAAGUUGGAUCCAAAGUUACAUACAUAACCCAAAGUUACAUACAUAACAUGAUGUUUUUGUUCUGAGAUACUAAUACUAAAAGACAGCUUGUUCUGAGUAUGUCGAUACUUUCCGGUGACUAGUAUGGUUCUUUUUCAUUCUUUUACCCCUUUCACCGUAACACAUGGUGCUACAACAAUCGUACCCUUCAAGAACAACGUAGGUUGGGCUUGGGAGAAUCUGCUAGAAGCUCAGGCUAUCAGAGAAGCUGUAAAUCCUUGGAGAAAUCAUGAUGCAGAAGCAAAAAAGAAUUCAUAGUGCCACCAUUGUUGAGUUUGUACCUGGUAUGAUUUCUUCUCGAACGCUCUCAUUCAACAAGGAGAGAACUUUCUGUAAACCAUGCUCUUGAUGGAGAAGUUUGAUAACAUUCAAAACAAAUAGGUCUAGGUGGUGGAGCUAUUUUGCUCAACUCCUUUUAGUUAAUGUGUAAUCCAUGUAUUUAUGAGACAUUUUGGCAAUAGGUCUUAAUGCCUCUGGCUAUUAGACUUGUGCAUUGUAAUUGAUGGGAUGAUCACACAUUAGUUUAUUGGAUUAUGUUUUACUCCUUUUGCCCUUAUAAGUUGGCAAAGAGUACCUAAAAUUGGAUGACCAUAUGUACUGAUGCUGGAAGCUGUGAGUGAACUUUUAAACAACUGAGAUCGUGUUUUGGAUGCUUGAAUAUUGUCUGCAGUACGCCAGACACAUAUCUGCUCAUCGCUCCUCUGUCCUGGAAUGAAUUUGGAAUAUCCUGAAAUGUUUUGAGGCGAUUUUGUAUUUGGCUGCUUGGCAAUUAAUCUCCUGUUCAGUGAGUGAGAUUUCCUGUAUGUGAGUUUUGGAAAUUAUACGUUUUCUUGGCAUUGUUCAGUAUGCGCUUCCCUGAUCAUCGUCCAAUGGUCUGUUAAGAGUUGGCUGCUUGCUUGUCGCAUAUGGUGACAUGGAUUGCAUUCUUUUUUUUUUUUUUUGGGCUUCCAGAACUCAGUAUCUUUCAUGUGCUUUAUAGAUAUGAACGACCGGAGUUCGGACUCUGUCAUGUGCAUUUCUCUCCGCAGUUUUAUUUAUUUUGCGUGGUGUUGGAUUGGGAAUAUUCGUGUAGGAAAUUUUUUUAUGUCUGAAUGGCAAAUUUACUAUCAUUUACUACUGGGGCCGAAUUUUCCUCAAGAAUAUCAAAGCAGCGGUUCUAUGCAAUCAGGCUAGUAAACGUAAUUACUCAGGAAUGAAUAGUGAAGAGCUCGUUACUUUGUUGAGUUUCUUGUUCUUGUUAUUCUUUUUAACUCAAGCAAUUGUUUAGGUCAAGAAUGUGAUGCCUUUAGAUGAUUCAGAAUUAACACUUAAAGAACCAGGACUCACAGAAAAUUUCAUUUCGCAGCAUUGGUCAAUGACCAAUCUUAAUUGAGCUGAUAUGUAGACUUUAUUUGGUGUGCAAAAGCUGAUGAAUGGUGUAAUUUGAUUAUAUCCUAUCUCUCACAUAAUGACCAAUCUUAAUUGAGCUGAUAUGUAGACUUUAUUUGAUGUGCAAAAGCUGAUGAAUGGUAUAAUUUGAUUAUAUCCUAUCACCUCACAAAUGUGAGAAAAGUUGUGACGAAAAAGGGUUUUGAUUAGAUAAUGUGAUUACAUCCUAUCACUAUUCUUUCACAUUCAGAUCGAUUUAAAAUUGUCUCUUUUCUACUAAUCAUGUGAAGCAACUAGUGUGUUGCAAGAAGAGAAUUUAUGAUUAGAUGCUACUGAUCAUUCGGAUAGCCGGCUUCUGGGGCAAGGAAGUUUGCUUAAGAGGGGAGAAAUAGGAAGGUCGCUAUAAUUAUUUAAUGUGAGGUUAUGCUAUUUUGUGGAAAGAGUAAGAUCAAAAUCAAUCAAAGUGACAUUAUGGACUUGCCUUUGCUGCUUAAUCGUACAUAGCCCCAAUAGUUUGUGACAAAAUUUGCCUGUAUCGCUUCUGUCAAUCUUAUACAAUUAGCAUCUUCUAAUCUACGACAACUUAGUCCGAUGUUUUGCGUUGAAUAGCGGCAACAUACGCUUUACUUGGGAUACUUGGUGAGUACACUCGUGGCUGAAAUGCCAUUAUCACGUGUUGCCUAUUGAGCGUUUUGGGCUAGGCAGAAACAGUUGGAAAACCUGCGGGAUCGACAUCUGAUAUAGUGUCUGGAUUGUUCAAGUAUGACUAAGCCAUCUCGCGGUUCAUAAUUGCAAUUUAGAAUCGAAAACUAAGUGGUAAUCCCAUCUUUUUAGCCAUUGAACAACUUGAGUCCUGUCAUAUGUCCCGAUCCCUGAAUCUUUUGGGAGCCAUUGAAUCCAAAGGAGAGGGUCUGAAGAACCAAAGAGGGACAAGUUAACAAAAGCAACUUUAUUUGUACGAGAUUUCGACAAAACACAAAUUAGCUUGAUCAGUGGCUAAGUAGCAUCGACACACAACAGUCUUAUUAUAACUUCAUGACGGUGUUUAAUUGAAAAAGCGAACGGGAUUAUCCUUCACCAUCGUGCUCCGACGAAGAAACAUGUUAAAGAGAAGACCUCUCUCCGAGGGACGUGUACACGUGGUGCGUUUAACAAGAAUUAGCUUCGACCAAGCCCUGAGCUGCUGCGCUCAUCACAUUGAGGAGCCCCUCGCCAGCCAUGGUAUUAUAAUCGGUAGGUCUCUCGCGCCCUCAGAAUCGUGCCCGCAUGACAUAACCAUUUUUCAGUUGAUCAACGUGGUCCGGAUACGAGGACAACCGGCCAUCAGAUUCAGGAUAGCACCUGAUCGCAACUGAUUUUUUUUCUAUGGAACUUUGUUAUUAGUGAUCAAAGAGAAAAAAGCACAAGAUAGCUAUACUGGGUUUUCUCUGCAGUAAGCCAAAAAGAAUGUGAAGUAGAUUUGGAGGGGAAACUAAAUCAAGAACGAUGCCAAGAGAACAUAUAAAUUCCAGAAUCUGCAUACAGGAAAAUCUCACUCGCCGAGCGGGAAAUUAAUUGCCGAGCAGCCAAAGACAGAAAUUGCAUCAGCACAUUUCAGGAUGUUCCAAAUUCAUUCCAGGACAGAGAUGGCAGACGCACAGAUGCAGUCUGGCGUAAUUUUAAAUUUUAUUUUUCCUGCAGACAAAGUUCAAGCAUCAAGAAUACGAUCUGUGUGUUUAGAAGUUCACAUCUUCAUCUCACACUCAUCCAGCUUACAGUAUCAUGUAUAGUUGUCCGAGUUUAAAUGCUCUUUGCCGACAUAUAAAGGCAAAAAAGAUUAAAUAAAUUCAAAUAAAACUAAUGUUUGAUCAUCCUGUCAAUCACCCCUCGGUCAUUCAAAAAGAAAGCCACAAAUUGGGCGAACGUAAUGGUCAAAAUAAGCUUGUGCACCAGAAAGGCUGACCACCAGUAGUACCACAAUGUCUAAUAGCCAGAAUUCUUAAGACCCGUUGCCAAAAUGUUGCAUGAAAAACUUCGUUUGCACACUAAAGCAGUUAACCAAGAUUACUCAACCACGUAGAUGUAUUUUUUCUAUAUGUUAUCAGACUUUUUCAUCAAGAACAUCGUUGAACGAAAGGUCUAGUGAUGUGCAACAAGAGCAGUCGAGAAAAAAAUCAUACCAGGAAUAACUCAACAAUGGCAGCACUAUGAGUUCUUUUUGCUUUCUGCAUCACGAUUCCUCCAAGGAUUCAGAGCUUCUCUGACAGCCUGAGCUUCCGGCGAAUUCUCCCAAGCCCGCUUCUCUGACUCCAAUUCGGUCACUUUAUCAUCUGCAACAUACAACCAGAUUAAUAUUUCUUGGUUAAUACAGAAAGACAGACCCUUUGGUAGUAAAAUAAGCAACCAAUGGCAUGGGAAAGAAUCUGAUAAUCUUCGUCAUGAAGAUGCUCACGAGAGUAUAGGUAGUUAUGAAGGCAAGGCAACCAAACAACAUUCUCACAAUCUUUAGUCUAUACCAAAGUCCAUUCAGAAAGAUGCAAGUGAUGAAAGCUCAUCAGUCUUCAAUAAGAUCACAAAGGAACUGCAAUUUCAACGGGACUACAAAUCACUUCAUCUAAUUGUGUUCCUACAGAAAUUUUUACUCUUUGAUUAUACCCUGAAAGAUAUGAAAUAGCUGCAGAACAAUCCGCUUAAUGUUUUCCCGAGAUGUGCAUCACAGUCAUAAGUUCAAUUUUAAAACCAGUCUCCUCAACGACUUUUCAGAAGUUUCUCCCACAGAAGGUAUCAAUGAACAGAUGAUUAGCUGCACAAGCCAUCUAUUCUCCACAGACUGGAACACUUCGCAUUCAUAGGUAUCGCCAUUCAUCACCUGAGACAACAUUUUUUCGCAUCAUGCUUUUCGUGUAGAACAAUGAGAAUGUUCAGUUCAUCGGCAUAACACGACGGUCCAAAUCAAAGCCCUCCUCUUUCACAAGCAAGCGACUGCAACAUACCAAGCGACUACGACAUACCACUGAAAUCAUGAAUUUCCGUCCUACCCCCAACUUCAGUCACAAAGGAACUGACUAAACGAUGCUUUUCUCAUCCGAAGAGACGAAUUUGAACACGACCCAUCACCGUAAAAUCCACUCCCAUUCGACUAACGCAAUAGCUGUCGCACUAGCAUCGCUCGCGAGCUCUAAAGCAAGGUUCAUUAGAUAAAAAUUGACUCCAACUGCUUAAUAGUGCCUAAAAACCAUCCAUUUCGAAGUUAUCUCGCGCCAUUUUCUUUUGGGGUACGAGCUACCCAAAAGAGAAGCGGUAAAAGUCGAAACGAAAGGAAUUGGCAGGAACGGGCGAAGGCGGAGCAAGAAAGGGAUGGAGUGUCCUCACACAGAAGCCGGUCUUGAUCAUGAACAACUCCAUGGAGCCUCCGACGAGGGCCGAGAAGACCCCGAUCUUCACGUACCAAUCAAGAAACUUCACCGCCAUAUCGAAAGUUGCCGCUCAAGCUUCCGCGGCAGCGGCUGGAAGACGGGAAAACGAAAGAAGGGUCUGUAAGAAAGAGGAGAAGGAAUAGGUAACUUCACGUGGAGAGAGGAGAUCCAUCGAGGCCCAUCAUCGGCCAACGCAGCCCGAACAUUUCCCCUCUAAAGAAAGCUUUUUUAGCUGUUGGGUCCAAGAAACUUGGGCCUUUGGCCACUUUUAGUGCUGCUCGUUGCAUCAAGAUACAAUCUUUUCGUCUUCUCUUCUCGUUGCGUAAACGAGGGCGGAUGCUUUGUUACAGAGUGCGUUUGGUUCAGCAUUUUGAAAGCUCGGAGAAAUACAAAACAGUUUAGCCUAAGGGGCUUUGGACAAAUACAAAGACUAUUUGGUAAAUUACGCUUUGAAAAGCAACUUUGAAACAAAUGCUGUUUGGUAAAAAAACACAUUUAGAAAGCCCAUUUGAGUGAUUAAUAUUAGCUUUUUAGUUUUUAUAUGUUUAAAAUUGACAAAAAUAAUGCAUGCAACUUCUUUUAAUUUGAAUUUUGACGACAGUGCUAAAAAAUAUCAAAUGGAAAAAAUUCACAUCAAAGUUGUCUCUUUCUUAAUUUAAAAAAAAAAAAAACCUUUAUUAUAAUAAACGGAAUAACAUCUGCCCCGAGGAAAUAAAUUUAUUAUUCUUUAAAAUUACAAACAUCCUUAAAUAUUUCCUAAACUUAGAGCCAUUUGAUCAAGCUAGAAUACUAUGUACAACAAACCUUGAUACAACACAGUUUCUCAAAUAUCUAUUCUCUGUUUACAUGCAAAGUCUACAUAAAAGUUCAAAUGCUCCUAUCAUAGAUAGAAUUAAAGGUCAUUGUAGCACAUAAGCUGCCAUGUUUUUUGACCACAAAGAUGACUUGUCUGGCCUGCUUGACUCCCCAGAUGAAGUGGAGGAUGAAUCCUUUGAGUGACCUUUGAGACCUUCAUCAGCAAUUAGAUCCAUCAAUUUUGAAAGUGACAAGGUGUCGAUAUUUCACUAUCAUUAACCUCAGCUAAGCUCAUUAGCAUCUUCACGACAGUCAACAUGGAUGUUUGAAGCCCUGGUAUACCCUGUGUUCAGAGAAGACCAAUCUUCAUGAAUAGGCAUGCCUCUUACCUAUGAUGUUCCCCAUCCAGAGAUGUAUCACUAAGAUCAUUAGCUCCCCUUUCUUGUGCAACUUCCAUGCCCAUAACACAUUGUACAUGUAGAUCAAGAGAUACAAGCAUUUGCAGCAUCACAACUGAACUUCUAAGCCAACAAGAGCAAGAAAGUCUCCAAACCCCAAGCCUAUCUGUCCACAUAAUCCCCCGUUAAACACAUAACCGAUUUUCACAAGAAAGACCCUCCUUAACAGGAACAAAACACUGUGAAGUUGCCCAUGAACAUCCAGGUUGCAUAACAUAACACAAAAUUGACAUGUAUUCUUUAUACCCAUUCAUUGCCCACUCAUUCUAGCAAGUAUCAGCUAUAUGAAUAAACAUCCAUGUUGCAAAACAGAACACAAAAAACCAGUGCAUAACUCGUAACUGGCACGUAUGACUUUGAUAGCAAAAAAUUUGUUGCAACAUAAUACAAACUGGGAUGCUAGAUUAAGCAUACAUAUAGCACCAAAUAAGGAGCAGAUCAGGGCAUCAACAAAUUUGGGCAGCAUGAGUUAAAGAACCUACUGUAAACAGGUGAAUGAACACCCCAAAGCAGGAAUGGGAUUAUGAUGGAUAGCAAUUAAAUGAAGUUCCAUAAGGUCAUUCCGCAUCCACGCAUCACUCAAUGCACUCACCCCUCCAGUCAAACUCUCCAGGAACUCAAUCUUCUUCUCGAUCGAGAGCCCCCGAGACUUGGCAUUCUCGCCUGGUGGGGAUAUCAAACAGAACAAAGAGAGAGAGACAACAGUCAGCAAAAAAUGCCGCGCCGACAUCGACCCCAGCGACGACCCCGACCCCGAUCCCGACGACGCCGUUGACGAGACCGACGCGCGCGUCGGAUCCUCGACGCCGGCGUGGCCUGGAUCCUCCGCGGUGCCAUACACAAGCGCGAGGUGGAAGCUCUCGGACGUCCGGUUCCAUCCCAUCCAAGACAUUCCCGAUCGGGGAUCCGCCGACCUCGCGCGCCGCUCACCGGCCUCUCACCGGCCUCUCGGUCGAUCGAUCGCGGCGGUCGUCUUCGUCGGCGGCGGAUCGGAGGAUGGCAGUCGAGCUCGCAGUGAGAGAGCGAUGGGGAAGGGUGGAGAGAGAAGGCGAUCUGGGGUUUUAGUUUCGAAAUGGGUAAAAUUGGUUUUUCAAUAAAGCUUUGAAGGUAAAAUAGGUAACCUACUAAUUUUCAUCAAAUGAACCCUUCAUCCUUCCGAAAAGCUUUGAGUAUUCCAAUUGCUGGCUUUCAUUUGAAAGCUCUUUGGGGAUGAUUGUCAAACGCCCCAAAUCUUCUCUAAUGGGCUUUGGGGCUCCAAGGGGCUUUUUAAAUGUCGAACCAAACGCACCCUGGAACUUCGUCUCGUGCAGUUCUGCUGCAUGUCGUGCUGUGGAUGGCUAGGAAUCAUACCUUCUAAGGGAGAAACCGAUACGGCAAAAGCUCGUCACGGCAUGCAUAUGCUCUUCUAGGAGUAUUUCCACCUGGCAAUGAUAUUCGAUGCUCGAUCUGAUCUACAUUUAGGACAGAGGUUCGAGCUCGGCGAUUCUGGAACUGCUUGAGUUUUGGCAAAUUUCACUGAGCGCUUCUCAGCAACUAGCAAGCAGAGUCUAUGUCUAUCUUGAAGGUGAUAGCUUCUCUGUUAUUGAGCCUCUGACCAAUCUGGAAACACCUCCAUUCUUGAACUCGGUCAAAUCGAGAAGCUCUCAGCAAAAUCAAGUGCUGGGGACUCAAUUCCACACCAUGAUCAGAGCUA